ACAGUGGACGCGAGCAUCUGUGGCCAAGUUUUUAAGGGCGCACGGUGGAUGCCUUGGCACCAGGAACCGAUGAAGGACGUGGGAGGCCACGAUAGUCCCCGGGGAGUCGUCAACCAGGCUUUGAUCCGGGGGUUUCCGAAUGGGGAAACCCGGCAGUCGUCAUGGGCUGUCACCCGCUGCUGAACUCAUAGGCAGUGUGGAGGGAACGCGGGGAAGUGAAACAUCUCAGUACCCGCAGGAAGAGAAAACAACCGUGAUUCCGGGAGUAGUGGCGAGCGAAACUGGAUGAGGCCAAACCGUAUGUGUGUGAUACCCGGCAGGGGUUGCGCAUGCGGGGUUGUGGGAUCUCUCUUCCACGGUCUGCCGGCCGUGGGACGAGUCAGAAACCGUUGAUGUAGGCGAAGGACAUGCGAAAGGUCCGGCGUAGAGGGUAAGACCCCCGUAGUCGAAACAUUAGCGGCUCGUUUGAGAGACACCCAAGUAGCACGGGGCCCGAGAAAUCCCGUGUGAAUCU
rnacentral:rRNA from 1 species